ensembl:lncRNA
AUGGAUAAAACACAGAGGUGCCACUUCAUGAUGGCACACAAAGGAAGAUAUUGCACAACCUGUUUAUUAACCGCCCGCUGUCAGAGGGCCAGUACACUUCAGCGAUCCGGGUCAUUCAUCAAUGCUACAUCCUGGCACAGUAACAAUAACAAUGCUGAAGAUGUGGAAUAUCACACACCAGACACAUCAAAAGCUUCAGUUUCCAUUGUUGUAAUUGCAAAGAAAAGAGUAACAAUUCCAUUCUUCCAAAUAUCUCCUUUUGUGUUCCACAGAAGAAAAACUCAACAUGAGGUACAGAGAACUGACAGACUGCAGCUUCCAAUGCCUUGAUGUUCUGUCUCGCCUCUGGCAUCACUGACCACAUAAUCAUUGGCUGGCACAACUGGAACAAGGCUUGAUUUUCAAAGGCUCUCAUGCCACUGAUUCGCUUUGCAUCAGUAAGACUGAUCACAGUGGUUUAUCAGAAACAACACGCGUUUCAUCCCACUUGGAUUCUGGGGAGGGAGAAGGUGGAAGCCAAAGCGGGUUGUGUCCUUACCUUUCCCCUCCCCAUAGAAGUGCCACACGCACCAGAGUGACACCAAGGGAGAAGGAUUUUGACAGCUCAAGUGUGUCAGCCCAUCAUGACCUGCCUGUGGCACUUUUGAUUAAAAGAGAAACAUUGAUAGUAUCAACUGUUGCCACAGAAAGAGCUAGAUAACCAUGGCCCAACAUUCAUAGGGUCUUCAACUCAAUUAAAUAUAUAUUUUUCUUAUCUGCCAACACUCCCUGUAAACUGUCAAUAUUUUAUAAUAUGUUUAUGUGGGUAAAAUAGCCCAAGGAAAAAAAAAAUACACCUUAUUUACACAUUAGUUUGAUAGCAAGCAAUAGUUUGACUGUCAAACAAUAAAACAAUCUGUCACAGAUCUAUUUCUCAGUAUUUGAAAAGACAUGAAAGGCUAAGUACUGUGAAAAUAACUAAUUUCUCCUCAUCUUGAAUCACAAUUUUGACUCAUAUGGUCAAAAAUCAUAGGUUAAUUUAUGCUAAUACUGUUUAAAAAGUUUUAUGGUUUCACAUAUGAGAGCAGUUCUUGUGACUCAAACACAAUGCUAGUGCAAAACAAAUUCACAUGUCAAUGGGAGGUCCCAUUCUGAACCAGAGAUGCAACCGUUUUCAAUAUUCAGAAGAUGGUGCUAUUUGUUUAUGUAUGCAUGCAUUGCAUGAACCCGUCUGCUUGCCUUCACACCAAUCUGAACAUUCAAUGUGCUACUGCUCCAAAAAUUGCAUUUGCAAAAUUCAGAAAUAUCACAGAAGGAAGACCUACAGAAUAAUGCCUAGUCUAUGCAUUUGUGCACAGCAUAAUACAGACGGGGGGAAAAAUAGCUUUCCUUGUGUAUAAUACAGAUUCUUUAUAUCUUAAAUAAGAUGCUUUAAAUGUAUAGACAAGAGAAUUGAUGAACAGUCAGCCGUCUAAAGCCAUUUUAUACAACACUGAUUAGUUUGCAUUUACUCCAAAUUCAAAUUGACUCUGAUUAGACAGUCUUGGCCCUCCCUGUUAGUAGUCAUACACUUGAAGGUCAUGUUAAGUAUAUAGCAUAAUAAUGUAAUUAUGCAAAUUCAGCCCUGAAAGAUCUGACAUGCUAUAUGCAAUUAAAGCCCAAGAUGUGCACCCACGAAAUAGCCACGCAUUUUGAUCCUGGCUUGAAGGGCAUCCUGGUUUAAUCGUCUGGCAAGAAUGCAGAAGUGGAAAAUUUGAUGAUGCCAGUUGUUAAGUGGAUCUUCUUACUCAACACAUUCAUGCCACUUUAGAUGCAACAUAUUAUGCUAGUUACACUGCUGUGGCUGUUUAAGAUCAGUGCUGAAUUUGUGAAGCAACAUUAUCUGGCAGGUCACAAAGCACUCUCGGGUGUUUAGUGGUGAUAUGAAACAAAUAAAGGAUUUUUGAGUAAUUCUUCAUGAUGCCAUUGUAAAUUAUGGAUAAACUUUACGAAUUGACAUUGUGCAGUGGGUCAGAUUUGCAGAAUUUUGUGACCCUCUUAUAUUUUUAAAAGAUUUAUUUAAGGCAUUGUUCACACCAAAAAUAAAGAUUUACUCACCCUUAGGCCAGUUUGAACAGAUUUGGAAAAAUCCAUCACCAGUGGAUCCUCUGCAGUUAAUGGGUGCCAUCAGAAUUGAGUGUCCAAACACCUGGUGAAAACAUUUCCAGUGAAGCAAAAAGUUGUGUGUUUGUAAUUAACAAAUAUAGCAUUAAGAUAUUUUUAGCUUUAAAAUGUUACUUCAAAAUAUGUGUCAUUUACCCAUAAUAUUCCUUUCUCCAGUGGGAAAUUUGUAUUAUCAGGAGAGAAAUAUGCACAGGUCAAGGACUGUUUACAAGUGAAAACAGCUCAAAACAGUUCUAAACAAAUAUGUUGAUGGAUUUUAAUGUGAGAGGACAACAGGGUAUGAGCUUUUUCACUGGAUUUCAUCUUAGAUGACCCGAGAGUCCACCUCGCAUUCCGGGCCCCCUCGUCGAGCCCUUGAAAUCGCCCUAACCUUUGGAUUUGAAUACUGUAUGUGGAAUUAUCGCAAUAUGAAAGUAUAUUUAAAAACUUUAAUUUUAGGUGGGAUUAACUGCGAUUCAGAAAAAAAGUGUGAUUAAUUAGCUUUUUAGCAAUUUACAGGACAUAUUAUUUGGAAUCGUUCUGGUUAUAAAACAUCAGUGGCUCAUGUCCAUUGUUAAUGUGAUGGUGUCCAAAAUGGUCUAAACAAGCAUCAUUUCAAGAAAGUCAAGAAAGUUUCUCAUGAAGGUUUCUCACAGAAUUCCAAGGCUCAUGAUGUCAAAUAAGCUUUAGAGAUAACUAAUCAAAUACGGCUUUUUUUUCUCAGUAGAAAUAGAAUCAUAAAAGAAAAAUGUGAAAAAUGCACUUUUAUAAAUAAAUCAACUCCUUUCAACUGUUCUAUCAGACAAUAUUUCUAUCCUGUCCUAGACAGUGAUACAUCUAUGCAGCUUUCAAAAAUUUACCAGACAGAGUCAUCUUAGUAGACGAGAUGUUUCACUGGCAUUGGAUUCGGAUUCUUCCCUUCUUACCUCAAUUUUUCAGCUUUGUGAACUGAGGUGAACCGAUGUCAUACAUCCACGAAAAUGACCUUCCACUACAGCUGUCAAAAGUAAUAACACAAAAAAGAUAAGAAAAGUUAAUUUUGAGACGAGCUCUAGCAUCGUUUUUUGGCAGAUGCUGAAAAUUUUAAGCUACAAAAGAAUCCAAAUACUUAUUUAAUGCAACAUAUUUCUAGUACAUAAGAAGAUUUAUCUUUAAUGAUUGAUUGAGCUAUUCCACACAUCUUUUGAGGAAACACACUGUAAAUGCUGACCUAUCUGCACAUAUUUGUAUCUUUAAUGUCUAUUUUUUAUCAGAUGCCAAAGUUCACAAUUUCCCAGCUGGC